UGGGAUUAAAGGUGUGUACCACCUGUAAAA
rnacentral:piRNA from 1 species